GACGGAGGGAAGCAUGGCGCCCAGGUGCGAGCACUCAGACCAACAUGUCCUGCGCAAUAGUAGCCGAGGCAGAAAUGAAAGGAACGGACACGUCCCAGGAACAUGCCCGCUUAAACAAUCAUGCUGCUUCUCUAAGAAACGAGUGAAAUUUUAAUCAGCUGGAGGAAGCAGGUGCCCAGAAGGGAACAGAUCGGUCGCACUGUCAGAAAACCCGACUGCACGCACACACACAAAGAAAACAUGCACGGCUGAAGGAAUCAAAAGAAUCAGCCAACUAAGGAGAAUCAUACAGAUUGUGUUUGCACCUGACAAAACUGUGAGUGGGCAAAGCACUAAGUGCUCUUCUGUAUCCAUGGGCUGUACCGUUUGAAUUCUUCACUAUGCAUCACUCAGCUUGCUGUGUUUCUUACCGGAGCUUUUCAAUAAAUCAUCAAGAGCCACA
rnacentral:lncRNA from 1 species